GGAGAGAUGUCCGAGCUGGCUGAAGGAGCACGACUGGAAAUCGUGUGUGCUGUUUAAAGCAGUACCGAGGGUUCGAAUCCCUCUCUCUCCGCCA
rnacentral:tRNA from 1 species